rnacentral:rRNA from 1 species
ACGGUAUCAACAGAAGAAGCACCGGCUAACUACGUGCCAGCAGCCGCGGUAAUACGUAGGGUGCGAGCGUUAAUCGGAAUUACUGGGCGUAAAGGGUGCGCAGGCGGUUCUGAAAGUCAGAUGUGAAAUCCCUGGGCUUAACCUAGGAAUUGCGUUUGAAACUACAGGACUAGAGUGUGACAGAGGGGGGUGGAAUUCCAUGUGUAGCAGUGAAAUGCGUAGAGAUAUGGAAGAACAUCGAUGGCGAAGGCAACCCCCUGGGUUAACACUGACGCUCAGGCACGAAAGCGUGGGGAGCAAACAGGAUUAGAUACCCUGGUAGUCCACGCCCUAAACUAUGUCAACUAGUUGUCGGAUCUUAAUAGGUUUGGUAACGUAGCUAACGCGUGAAGUUGACCGCCUGGGGAGUACGGUCGCAAGAUUAAAACUCAAAGGAAUUGACGGGGACCCGCACAAGCGGUGGAUUAUGUGGAUUAAUUCGAUGCAACGCGAAAAACCUUACCUACCCUUGACAUGUCAAAAAGUCCCUAGAAAUAGGGGUGUGCCUGAAAA